rnacentral:rRNA from 1 species
GCUCAGUUAAGACAAGAUCUUUAAAAAUUAACAGCCGAUAAGUGUGGGCGUUUAUGGUUCAGUCGAGUGACAAGUCACUAGACGUUAAACCAAUAAUGCUCAUACUUGACGAAACAAAGCAAAUUCAGAAAUGAAUUGAAAUGUCAGUCAAUACUUGAGUAGCGGUAGCGAUACCGCAAAUGCGAAAUGCAAUGAUAUAAACUGAAGAGUUUGAUCAUGGCUCAGAUUGAACGCUGGCGGCAUGCUUUACACAUGCAAGUCGAACGGUAACAUGAAGAAAGCUUGCUUUCUUUGAUGACGAGUGGCGAACGGGUGAGUAAUACAUCGGAACGUACCGUUUAGUGGGGGAUAACUACUCGAAAGAGUAGCUAAUACCGCAUACGAACUACGGUUGAAAGCGGGGGACCUUUGGGCCUCGCGCUAAACGAGCGGCCGAUGGAAGAUUAGCUAGUUGGUGAGGUAAAGGCUCACCAAGGCGACGAUCUUUAGCGGGUCUGAGAGGACGAUCCGCCACACUGGAACUGAGACACGGUCCAGACUCCUACGGGAGGCAGCAGUGGGGAAUUUUGGACAAUGGGGGCAACCCUGAUCCAGCAAUGCCGCGUGAGUGAAGAAGGCCUUCGGGUUGUAAAGCUCUUUUGUUAGGGAAGAAAUCCUUAAGGCUAAUACCCUUGGGGGAUGACGGUACCUAAAGAAUAAGCACCGGCUAACUACGUGCCAGCAGCCGCGGUAAUACGUAGGGUGCAAGCGUUAAUCGGAAUUACUGGGCGUAAAGCGUGCGCAGGCGGUCUGAUAAGACAGUCGUGAAAUCCCCGAGCUCAACUUGGGAACUGCGAUUGUAACUGUCAGACUAGAGUGUGUCAGAGGGAGGUAGAAUUCCACGUGUAGCAGUGAAAUGCGUAGAGAUGUGGAGGAAUACCGGUGGCGAAGGCGGCCUCCUGGGAUAACACUGACGCUCAUGUACGAAAGCGUGGGGAGCAAACAGGAUUAGAUACCCUGGUAGUCCACGCCCUAAACGAUGUCAACUGGUUGUUGGGUCUUCAUUGACUUAGUAACGAAGCUAACGCGUGAAGUUGACCGCCUGGGGAGUACGGUCGCAAGAUUAAAACUCAAAUGAAUUGACGGGGACCCGCACAAGCGGUGGAUGAUGUGGAUUAAUUCGAUGCAACGCGAAAAACCUUACCUACCCUUGACAUGCCACUAACGAAGCAGAGAUGCAUUAGGUGCUCGAAAGAGAAAGUGGACACAGGUGCUGCAUGGCUGUCGUCAGCUCGUGUCGUGAGAUGUUGGGUUAAGUCCCGCAACGAGCGCAACCCUUGUCAUUAGUUGCCAUCAUUAAGUUGGGCACUCUAAUGAGACUGCCGGUGACAAACCGGAGGAAGGUGGGGAUGACGUCAAGUCCUCAUGGCCCUUAUGGGUAGGGCUUCACACGUCAUACAAUGGUCGGUACAAAGGGUUGCCAAGCCGCGAGGUGGAGCCAAUCCCAUAAAACCGAUCGUAGUCCGGAUUGGAGUCUGCAACUCGACUCCAUGAAGUCGGAAUCGCUAGUAAUCGUGGAUCAGAAUGUCACGGUGAAUACGUUCCCGGGUCUUGUACACACCGCCCGUCAAACCAUGGGAGUGGGUUUCACCAGAAGUAGGUAGCCUAACCGUAAGGAGGGCGCUUACCACGGUGGGAUUCAUGACUGGGGUUAAGUCGUAACAAGGUAGCCGUAUCGGAAGGUGCGGCUGGAUCACCUCCUUUCU